AAAUAUUCAAAGUAAAAUCUUUUGUUAACUCAAUUGGUUAUGCUUUGGUCUUGGAGGUUUUUUGCAGGUUCACACCUGCUCCUCUUUGUGAAUUAGCUGGAUCUCAGUGUUAUGCUUGGUUCCACUCGGCGUGAUAAGUUAUCUAUCGCUGAGGACACCGUAAAAAGUGGCCAAGGUAAAUGCAGAUGAACCGCUUCCAAUAGUCCAUUGACUUGGACAAUACAAUUUAUG
rnacentral:misc_RNA from 1 species